rnacentral:lncRNA from 1 species
GCAAGGACAGGUCAGGGUGUGCUGGGUUGCUUAGGAAAAUCUUCAUGAAGUGACAGGACUUUGACUGGGUCGGCAAGCAUGGGCUUUAUUUGGACAGGCCAAGAGGAAGGGAGACACUGAGGAUUAUUAAAAAGACCUCCCUUGGCUUUGGAUUUCAGCCAGGACUCGUCUGCCAUUGAAAAGGGAGACUUGUUACAGAUUGCAGAACUAUGCUCAGGCUUAGCUGCAUGGGACUACGCUAAGAAUUUGGGAACAUAUGGAAAAAGAAUUGCCGGGUAUGACUCUAUCUCCUCCUACUUUUUGCUCUCCCACCUAAGGCGUAAGAACUAAGUAAUUAAUACAGGAGAAGAUGAAAGGUGAAAGUUAUUUUUAUUUAGUAACAACCACUUCGGGUAUCCCCUGAAUUUUUUUAUGGGGAGGGGGACACUUAAGCAAUCUGGAAAACAUUCACAAAUAUGGAAGUCAGAUCAAAGACCUCUGAGGAUGAAGGAGAGGAGCUGCCACAUGCCUGGAACCCUCAUUCUGCAGGAGACAACAGCAGGGGCAUCUUCUGGCCAGAAUCUAUUUUGAGUUAUAAUUUUGUGAAAAUUAAAGUUUGCUGAGGCAAAGCCCAAGGAGGAGAGUUAUGGGGAGGGCAGGAGAAUAUGCUGCUCAGAGCUGACACUUGUUCCUGAAAAGAGGAAGAAGAAUGAAGAAUCAAUAAUAACCUAGAGCAAUGUAAAAACAGUCUUACAGCUUAAUUAUGACCCUGGGAUAUCGAGAAAAGGCUGAAAGAUGUGAUUUCAUUCUAUUUAAUAAGUGAAGGAAGAAUCUUAUGAAGACUUCUCUAAAAAUUGGCCAAUGUCCCUGGCGUGUCAAAGGGUGAGUUUAGAUGUCCACAUGGGGCAGAAGGGAGCAGGUCUCUCCCCAUGCUCUCAGCCAUUGUGAUG